rnacentral:rRNA from 1 species
UGCUCAGAUUGAACGCUGGCGGCAGGCCUAACACAUGCAAGUCGAGCGGUAGCACAGAGAGCUUGCUCUCGGGUGACGAGCGGCGGACGGGUGAGUAAUGUCUGGGAAACUGCCUGAUGGAGGGGGAUAACUACUGGAAACGGUAGCUAAUACCGCAUAACGUCGCAAGACCAAAGUGGGGGACCUUCGGGCCUCAUGCCAUCAGAUGUGCCCAGAUGGGAUUAGCUAGUAGGUGGGGUAACGGCUCACCUAGGCGACGAUCCCUAGCUGGUCUGAGAGGAUGACCAGCCACACUGGAACUGAGACACGGUCCAGACUCCUACGGGAGGCAGCAGUGGGGAAUAUUGCACAAUGGGCGCAAGCCUGAUGCAGCCAUGCCGCGUGUGUGAAGAAGGCCUUCGGGUUGUAAAGCACUUUCAGCGGGGAGGAAGGCGAUAAGGUUAAUAACCUUGUCGAUUGACGUUACCCGCAGAAGAAGCACCGGCUAACUCCGUGCCAGCAGCCGCGGUAAUACGGAGGGUGCAAGCGUUAAUCGGAAUUACUGGGCGUAAAGCGCACGCAGGCGGUCUGUCAAGUCGGAUGUGAAAUCCCCGGGCUCAACCUGGGAACUGCAUUCGAAACUGGCAGGCUAGAGUCUUGUAGAGGGGGGUAGAAUUCCAGGUGUAGCGGUGAAAUGCGUAGAGAUCUGGAGGAAUACCGGUGGCGAAGGCGGCCCCCUGGACAAAGACUGACGCUCAGGUGCGAAAGCGUGGGGAGCAAACAGGAUUAGAUACCCUGGUAGUCCACGCCGUAAACGAUGUCGAUUUGGAGGUUGUGCCCUUGAGGCGUGGCUUCCGGAGCUAACGCGUUAAAUCGACCGCCUGGGGAGUACGGCCGCAAGGUUAAAACUCAAAUGAAUUGACGGGGGCCCGCACAAGCGGUGGAGCAUGUGGUUUAAUUCGAUGCAACGCGAAGAACCUUACCUGGUCUUGACAUCCACAGAACUUUCCAGAGAUGSAUUGGUGCCUUCGGGAACUGUGAGACAGGUGCUGCAUGGCUGUCGUCAGCUCGUGUUGUGAAAUGUUGGGUUAAGUCCCGCAACGAGCGCAACCCUUAUCCUUUGUUGCCAGCGGUUMGGCCGGGAACUCAAAGGAGACUGCCAGUGAUAAACUGGAGGAAGGUGGGGAUGACGUCAAGUCAUCAUGGCCCUUACGACCAGGGCUACACACGUGCUACAAUGGCAUAUACAAAGAGAAGCGACCUCGCGAGAGCAAGCGGACCUCAUAAAGUAUGUCGUAGUCCGGAUUGGAGUCUGCAACUCGACUCCAUGAAGUCGGAAUCGCUAGUAAUCGUAGAUCAGAAUGCUACGGUGAAUACGUUCCCGGGCCUUGUACACACCGCCCGUCACACCAUGGGAGUGGGUUGCAAAAGAAGUAGGUAGCUUAACCUUCGGGAGGGCGCUUACCACUUUGUGAUUCAUGACUGGGGUGAU